GAUCCUACGGGAGGCAGCAGUGAGGAAUAUUGGUCAAUGGCCGAAGGGCUGAACCAGCCAAGCCGCGUGAAGGAAUAAGGCCCUACGGGUCGUAAACUUCUUUAGUCAGGGAACAAAGGGUGCCACGUGUGGCGCUGUGAGUGUACCUGAAGAAUAAGCAUCGGCUAACUCCGUGCCAGCAGCCGCGGUAAUACGGAAGGUCCGGGCGUUAUCCGGAUUUAUUGGGUUUAAAGGGAGCGUAGGCCGGCUUUUAAGUCAGCUGUGAAAGUCCGCGGCUCAACCGUGGAAUUGCAGUUGAAACUGGG
rnacentral:rRNA from 1 species